UGUGGCCCAUUAGCUCAGUUGGUUAGAGCGUCGUGCUAAUAACGCGAAGGUCGUGGGUUCGAUCCCAUGGCCAGAA
rnacentral:tRNA from 1 species